UACGUAGGGGGCAAGCGUUGUCCGGAUUCAUUGGGCGUAAAGAGCGUGUAGGCGGCCAGGUAGGUCGGUUGUGAAAACUGGAGGCUCAACCUUCAGAGGUCGACCGAAACCAUCUGGCUAGAGUCCGGGAGAGGAGAGUGGAAUUCCUGGUGUAGCGGUGAAAUGCGCAGAUAUCAGGAAGAACACCAGUGGCGAAGGCGACACGCUGGGCCGUACCUGACGCUAAAGCGCGACAGCAUGGGGAGCAAACGGG
rnacentral:rRNA from 1 species